UGAAUACGAGACGCUAAGGCGUCGAAGUAGUGUAUGUCAUACUUCCAAGAAAAGCUUGCACUGUCAUAGAUAAAAAACGCCUGUACCAUAACCGACACAGGUGGGUAGGUAGAGUAUACUAAGGGGCGCGAGAUAACUCUCUCUAAGGAACUCGGCAAAAUAACUCCGUAACUUCGGGAGAAGGAGUGCCUUAUUCGUAAGGUUGCAAUAACAAGAUCCAAGCAACUGUUUAUCAAAAACACAGGUCUCCGCUAAGUCGUAAGACGAUGUAUGGGGGCUGACGCCUGCCCAGUGCCAGAAGGUUAAAGAAGUUGGUUAGCAAUUGCGAAGCUGAUAACUGAAGCCCUGGUGAACGGCGGCCGUAACUAUAACGGUCCUAAGGUAGCGAAAUUCCUUGUCGGGUAAGUUCCGACCCGCACGAAAGGCGUAAUGAUUUGGAUACUGUCUCGGAGAGGGGCUCGGUGAAAUAGACUUGUCUGUGAAGAUGCGGACUACCUGCACCAGGACAGAAAGACCCUAUGAAGCUUUACUGUAACUUGAAAUUGAAAUUGGACUUUAUUCGCGCAGUAUAGGUGGGAGGCGUUGAUUAUAAUCUUGUGGGAUUAUUGGAGCCAUCAGUGAGAUACCACUCUUGUAAUGUUAGAUUUCUAACUUUGAAUCAUUAUCUGGUCAAAGAACAGUUUCAGGCGGGCAGUUUGACUGGGGCGGUCGCCUCCUAAACGGUAACGGAGGCGUACAAAGGUUUCCUCUGAACGGUUAGAAAUCGUAUCUAGAGUGUAAAGGCAUAAGGAAGCUUGACUGUGAGACCUACAAGUCGAGCAGGGACGAAAGUCGGUCUUAGUGAUCUGACGGUACUGAGUGGAAAGGCCGUCACUCAACGGAUAAAAGUUACUCUAAGGAUAACAGGCUGAUCUCCCCCAAGAGUUCACAUCGACGGGGAGGUUUGGCACCUCGAUGUCGGCUCAUCGCAUCCUGGGGCGGUAGUACGUCCCAAGGGUUGGGCUGUUCGCCCAUGAAAGCGGUACGCGAGCUGGGUUCAGAACGUCGUGAGACAGUUCGGUCCAUAUCCGGUGUAGGCGUUAGAAUAUUGAGAGGAGCCUUCUUUAGUACGAGAGGACCGAGAAGGACAUACCUCUGGUGUACCAGUUAUCGUGCCAACGGUAAACGCUGGGUAGCUAUGUAUGGAGUGGAUAACCGCUGAAAGCAUCUAAGUGGGAAGCCCACCUCAAGAUAAGUAUUCUCAUC
rnacentral:rRNA from 1 species